rnacentral:rRNA from 1 species
UACGAAGGGGGGCUAGCGUUGUUCGGAAUUACUGGGCGUAAAAGCGCACGUAGGCGGAUAUUUUAAGUCAGGGGUGAAAUCCCGGGGCUCAACCCCGGAACUGCCUUUGAUACUGGGGUAUCUCGAGUCCGAGAGAGGUGAGUGGAAUUCCGAGUGUAGAGGUGAAAAUUCGUAGAUAUUUGGGAAGAACACCGAUGGCGAAGGCAGCCAUCUGGACCGACACUGACGCUGAGGCGCGAAAGCGUGGGGAGCAAACAGG